rnacentral:rRNA from 1 species
UACGGAAGGGGCUAGCGUUGUUCGGAAUUACUGGGCGUAAAGCGCGCGUAGGCGGCUACACCAGUGAGGCGUGAAAGGCCUGGGCUCAACCUAGGAACUGCGCUUCAUACUGUGUGGCUAGAGUCCGGGAGAGGGUGGUGGAAUUCCCAGUGUAGAGGUGAAAUUCGUAGAUAUUGGGAGGAACACCGGUGGCGAAGGCGGCCACCUGGCCCGGAACUGACGCUCAAGCGCGAAAGCGUGGGGAGCAAACAGG